ACCCCUCAAAACUUGUUUAAAACAUACUAAAAAGGUAGGAUCUAAGCUUACCUCUUGAAGAUCGAGAGGAGAGACGAUCCUAACUUGGAGAUGGGAGAAAUUUAGCUCCUUGGGUCUCCAAGCUCCAAAACUUGAUCUUAGCUUCAAAAAUCUUCAAAACCAAGUUAAAACUUGUUAAAACUUGAAAGAUUUGAGGAAAAUCAUCAAAACCAACCUUGGGAGGGCAUGGACUCACCGUUGGCCGAAAAUAGGGGAGAAAGCUCGCCCAUUUUCGGCCAUAGGGCCUUUUAUAGGUGGCUGGCCAGGCCACCUUGAUACGGAUCCAAUAGGGCAAAUUUCUAACAAUGGUGUGGAGCAAACUUAUGUCAUUCAAAUGGAUCUAAAAGGAGUUCAAAAUCAUAUUCAUAUGAUCCAUAUAUAUUUGGGGCAUGCUUCAACUCAUAUGGGACAGAUUUGGUGCAACACUUGCAAUCAUAGGUUUAAGGAGCCUAAUCAAACCUAUGGGCUAAAACUACACAAAGGGAAGCCUAAAGUGAAGAUCAAGUAAGGCUUUUGUGAAGAUUCAGCUUUGUUAUGAUGGGCUUGCUAUAUUUUUAUUAUUUAACAUUUGUUUUAUUUUAUCUUUAUUUGGGCUUGUAUUCUGGCCAUACUUUAUCUUUUAAGUUUUAGAGUGUUGGGCCAUGUUUUGGGCUGAUGUUUUAAUACUUAUGUGUUAUUUUAGUGUGUGAUUGGGCUUGGGCCUUAUGUGUUUAAGUCAGGUCCAAGAAGAGUGCCUUAGGGUUUUAUUUGUUUUUCUCCUUACUAUAUAAGGAUAAGAAACAAUUGUAAGAGGCAGCUUUUAAUCAAAAUUUCAGAAUUCUUUUCAUGCCUUUGGCAUGCCCCAAAUAUAUAUGGAUCAUAUGAAUAUGAUUUUGAACUCCUUUUAGAUCCAUUUGAAUGACAUAAGUUUGCUCCACACCAUUGUUAGAAAUUUGCCCUAUUGGAUCCGUAUCAUUCCUUCAGAAGCCGAAGGUAACUCCAAAACUCAUGCAUGUUCGGCGGCCGAACCUGGAUUUCCUUCUAUGGUCUUUUUCAUUCAAAACUCAAUUUCUUUCUUACUUAAAACCAUAAAAUACAUAAAAACAUUUUAAAAAAACAUGUUUUUACCCUUCUAGAGGUUUUCGACAUCCGAGAUUCCACCGGAUGGUAGGAAUUCUGAUACUGGAGUCUAGCCGGGUAUUACAUUCUCCCCCCUUUAAGAACAUUCGUCCCCAAAUGUUCACCAAACAAGCAUACAUAGCAUGAAACAUAUACAUAUACACAAAACACAUAACACUAACCUUAGAAAAGAUAUAAGGAUAUUGCUGGAGUAUAGACUCCCGUGUCUCCCAGGUACAUUCUUUUAUGUUGUGGUGAUUCCAAAGGACUUUCACCAUCGGGAUUUCCUUGUUCCUUAGCUUUCUGAUCUGGGUGUCUAGGAUCCGUACUGGCUGCUCAACAUAGGUGAGAUCUCUAAGGAUCUCCACAUCAGGCUCACUAAGAACCUUGCCUGGAUUCGACACGAACUUCCGUAACAUGGAAACAUGGAAAACCAGAUGGAUUCUCUCCAUUGAAGCAGGUAAGUCCAACUUGUACGAUACAUUCCUAAUCUUUUGCAAGAUUUCAAAGGGUCCGAUGUACCGUGGAGCUAACUUACCCUUCUUCCCAAACCGAAUCACCCCUUUCAUAGGAGACACCUUGAGCAAUACCAAAUCUCCCUCCUGAAACUCCACAUGCUUCCUGCGGAUAUCUGCAUAGCUCUUUUGCCUGCUCACAGCAGUUUUGAUCCUUUCUCUGAUUAUGGGCACUACUUUGCUGGUGAUCUCCACUAGCUCAGGCCCCGCUAAGGCCCUUUCUCCAACUUCCUCUCAACAGACAGGUGACCUGCACUUCCUUCCAUACAAAGUUUCAUAUGGAGCCAUCCCUAUGCUAGCAUGAUAGCUGUUAUUGUAGGCAAACUCCACCAAAGGUAGAUGCUGCCUCCAAGAACCGCCAAAAUCUAGCACAUACAUUCUGAGCAUAUCUUCUAUUGUCUGGAUGGUCCUCUCUGAUUGUCCAUUCGUCUGAGGAUGGAAAGCAGUGCUGAAAUCUAACCUGGUGCCCAUAGCAUUCUGCAGACUCCGCCAAAACCUAGAGGUGAACUGGGGUCCUCUAUCAGACACUAUUGAAACAGGAGCCCCAUGCAACCUGACCACUUCAUCAACAAAUACCUACGCCAAUUUGUCCACAGAGUAGCCACUCCUGACAGGGAUGAAGUGAGCAGAUUUGGUCAGUCUGUCCACAAUCACCCAUAUGGAGUCCAAUCUGUUGGACGUCGCCGGUAACCCUACCAUGAAAUCCAUAGCUAUAUUCUCCCAUUUUCACUCUGGAAUCGGUAGUAGGUUAAGCAUUCCAGCCGGCUUUUGAUGUUCCAGCUUCAUCCUCUGACAUACUUCGCAGGCUGACACGAACUGUGCCACUUCUCUCUUCAUAGCUGGCCACCAAUAAACUCUUUUCAGAUCCUGGUACAUUUUGGUGGCUCCAGGGUGAACACUGUAGCUGGCAUUAUGAGCUUCCCUCAUAAUGUCUCCCUUCAGACCCACGUCAUCUGGUACACACAAUCUAUUCCCAUAGCGAAGGAUCCCUUUGCUGUCAAAUCUGAACUCUUCGUUCUUGCCUGACUGAACAGUCCUGGCAAUCUUCACUAACUCUGGGUCCUCGUGCUGUUUCUGAGCCACCUGCUCCAGAAACACGGGUGUCACUCUCAUCUGGGCUAUCAAAGCACCUGUACCAGACAACUCCAACUAUAAAUCUUCAUUAAUGAGCUUAUGAAACUCUUUUACCACCGGUCUCCUCUCUGCUGUGAUAUGGGAUAGACUGCCAAGUGAUUUCCGGCUUAAGGCGUCUGCCACAAUAUUCGCCUUACCCGGAUGGUACUGAAUCUUGCAAUCAUAGUCACUAAGCAGUUCUACCCAUCUUCUUUGUCUCAAGUUCAACUCUCUCUGACUCAGGAUGUACUGUAGGCUUUUAUGAUCUGUGAAGAUCUCACAUUUAACCCCAUAAAGGUAAUGCCUCCACAUCUUGAGUGCAAAGUUCACAGCUGCCAUCUCUAGGUCAUGUGUAGGAUAAUUCAACUCAUGCUUCUUCAACUGUCUAGAAGCAUAAGCAAUUACCCUUUCAUUUUGCAUCAACACACAACCUAGUCCCACACGGGACGCAUCACAAAACACUGUGAAGUCUUCAUUACUGGUAGGCAGAGCUAACACCGGUGCCGACGUCAACCUUUUCUUCAGCUCUUCGAAACUCUCUUCACACUGGUCAGUCCACACAAACCUCUGAUUCUUCUUAGUCAGUCUGGUCAUAGGAGCUGCAAUCUUAGAGAAGUCUUGAACGAACCUCCUGUAGUAACCUGCCAAACCCAAAAAACUCUUGAUCUCUGUCACUGUAGCGGGUCUAGGCCAGUUAGCUACAGCUUCCACCUUCUUGAGGUCCACUUCUAUUCCAUUUUCUGACACAACAUGCCCCAAGAAUGAAAUGCUCCUCAACCAGAACUCACACUUAGAGAACUUGGCAUACAAGCCGUGUUCCCUCAAGGUCUGUAAGACUAACCUCAGAUGAUGGGCAUGCUCCUCUGCAUUCCUGGAAUACACUAAGAUAUCAUCUAUGAAGACAAUAACAAAGUGAUCCAGAUACUGACUGAAAACUCUGUUCAUAAGGUCCAUGAAUGCUGUAGGGGCAUUGGUUAACCCGAACGGCAUCACAAGGAACUCAUAGUGCCCAUAUCUGGUUCUGAACGCUGUCUUCGGCACAUCCUCUUCUCUUAUUCUCAGCUGAUGGUACCCGGAUCGCAGAUCUAUCUUGGAGAAACAACCUGCUCCUGCUAGCUAGUCGAAUAGAUCGUCGAUCCUAGGUAACGGGUAUUUAUUCUUGGUAGUGACUUUGUUCAACUGUCUGUAGUCGAUACAAAGUCUAAGGGAUCCAUCCUUCUUUUUCACAAACAGCACUGGAGCACCCCAAGGUGAGGUACUCGGUCGGAUGAAGCCCUUAUCUACCAGCUCUUGCAACUGCUCCUUAAGCUCCUUCAAUUCUGCUGGUGCCAUCCUGUAGGGAGGGAUAGAGAUUGGUCUGGUUCCAAGCAUUAAUUCAAUUUCAAACUCUAUCUCCCUAGCAGGUGGUAAACCUGGCAGCUCGUCUGGUAAGACAUCUAAAAACUCUCUAACCACGGGCACUGAGGCGGGCUCUCUAACAUGACUAUCCAGCUCUCUCACAUGAGCUAGAAAACCCUGACAACCCCUCCUGAGCAACCUACGAGCCUGAAGGGCUAAUAUCAAACCUCUAGGUGUACCCCUCCUGUCUCCUCUGAAGACAACCUCUGACCCAUCCUGAUCUCUAAACCUGACUACCUUGUCUCUACAGUCCAAGGUAGCACCAUGGGUAGACAGCCAAUCCAUCCCUAGAAUGACAUCAAAAUCCGUCAAAUCUAGAACCACAAGGUCGGCUGGAAGGCAUCUUCCCUCAACAAAAACUGGACUAAACCGGCAGACUGACUCCGCCACUGAUGGAUCACACUUGGGUCCACUGACCCAAAGGGGACACUCUAACCUAGAGACCAUCAAACCCAACCUCUCGACAGCUCUCGGAGCAACAAAAGAAUGAGAUGCACCAGGGUCCAUUAAGGCAUAAAUAUCUGAACAACCAAUGAUGAGAUUACCUGACACCACGGUGUUUGAUGCAUUUGCCUCCUGCUGUGUCAUCGUGAAGAUCCGUGCUGGAGCUGAUGGACCUUCACCCCUGAAACCCGCGGAAGAAGAGGCUGCCCCUCUCCCCUGCCUCUGCCACUGGCCUAAGUCGCGGCUGGAGCUACUGGCUGAGCCACACUACCAGAAGCUGUCUGCUGGGAUUGCGCCAUAUAAGCUGCUCUAGGACACUCCCGUGCCAUGUGUCCCUCCUGCCCACAUCGGAAGCAGGCUGUCAUCCCAAACCGACAUACUCCCUUGUGCGGCUUCCCACACUUCAUACAUACUGCACUGUCUGCACCUGAGCUCGAGCCACCUCCUAAUCCCAGACCUGACUUUAUCUUGUUCCAGAACUUGUUCUUCUUUGACUUCUUAGUGGCAUUACCCCACUUUUUACUGCCUAAAACUGCUGCACUCAAACCCCCACCUGGGGUCUUGGAACCAGAAGACUGUGCCACUGGCUGCUUAACUUUUCCUUCGAUUAUUGUACUAGCCUCCAUUCUCCGGGCCAUAUCCACUAUGGCAUGCAAGCUCUCCCUUUCUACUGAUUGAAUCAAGGAGGAAUACCUGGAAUGAAGCCUCAUGAUAUACCUCCUAGCCUUCUUUUGAUCUGUGUCAAGAUUUUGCCUUGCAAACGGCAACAGCUCCAAGAACCUAUCUGUGUACUCAUCUACACUCAUCUCCUCCGUCUGCCUUAGCUGUUUGAACUCAAUCAUCUUCAACUCCCUUGAACUAUCAGGGAAAGCCCAUCCUGCAAACUCAUUAGCAAACUCCUCCCAUGAUAGACUGUCCAGCCUUGGGUUCACAUAGUUUUUAAACCACUCUCGGCCCUUCUUGCACUUCAGUGUGAACCCAGCCAUCUGAAUGGCUCUACUGUCAUCUGCCCCUAACUCAUCUGUUAUCAACUUGACUGUCCUGAGGUACUCAAACGGAUCAUCACCUGUUUCAUACUUGGGAGCAUUCAACUUCAAAUAGUCAGUCAUCUUGACCUUGCUCCCCCCAGAUGAGCUAGGUUUAGGUGCUUGGGCUUCUGGGACCAUAGGUUCUGCUGGGGGUGGAGGAGGUGCAACAUCCUCUGGAUUAGGGUUUGUUGUACCUGGAUAGAAAGAUGGGGGUGGGUAUAUAGAGUACUGUGAGUAUGGUGGGUAGAAAGGUGGGUAUGGCAUGUAAGAAGGAUAAGGGUUAAAACUGGGGUAAUCCAAUGUACCUCCCAUCGAAUACCCGAGAUUCUGUGAAAAGGGUGGGUAUUGGGGUGGUUGAACAAACCCCGAGGCCUGAGUGCCUCCCUGAGACUCUCCCAUGCCCUCUUCCGACAUGCUCACACCAAGACUGCCAUCCCUCCUCUGAUCCACAUCCAUAUCAUCCCCCAUAUCUCCUGACACUACUCCCUGAACUGUUCCUCUUCUGCUCAUAUCAAAAGACCUUCUAGGAUCCCUUGACACUCUCUCCCUGCUAGACCUGCAGGACAUUGCCCUAGGCAAAGCAGGAGGAUGGGCAUCGUGCAGAUCGACGAGUUCCUCUCAUCUUACUUACUGAAAAACAGCACACAUCACAUAAAACAUUAGCAUCACAUGGUUCAUGUGGAAACACAUGAACCCACAUCACAUACAUAACAUACACAGCAUAUCAUCAAUGUACAUGCAUAAAAUCAGGGCAUUUCACAUCAUUAUUCAAGACAGGACUCUACAUCCUAUCCUAGUGGAUAUGAUUUUCCUAUUGUGCUUGCCCUUCUAUAACCUCUAUGAGCCCGACACAAUAUAGGUUCGACCAUAUGAACCUAGGGCUUUGAUACCAAUCUGUAACGAUCCAAAAAUCGGACCGCUACCGGCGCUAGGAUCCAGAUAGGCAUAAGGCCGCCGAGACCCAUAGCAAGCCUAACAUACAUCCUGUAUACCUGUUAAAUCCCAUACAUGAUCAAACAUAUACAUAAAAACUUUAAACUUUCUCUUUCAUUUACCAGGCUUAACCUGUGCAUGCACAAACUCAUAAACAUAAAACCCCACACUGGAGCCCUCAUCAAAUGCUACAAUGGGGCAACAUAUCAUACAUUAAGCUUGGCUUACAUAAACAUCAAUAAAACAUUUUACAGAUCAUGUGCAAAAGGGAUUAACCAACAUACUAGGGUCAAGCACAACUCUAAACCUCAAUAAACAUCAUUACAUUACAUUACUAUACUAUACUUUACAUUACAUCAUUUUCAUGUCCACAUCUAGCUAUUACAUAAAACAUGACUUCUUUACUCUUGCUGACUUCCUGAUCUAUCCCGUACCUGCAAACCUAGGUGUUAAUGGAAUGGGGUGAGCUACUAGAGCCCAGUGAGUAGAAUAGUAAAACAUUAUAUUUAAAAUUCAUGCUUUCAUGAAAUGCAUCACAUCACAAACAAAUCACCUUAAGGAUGAACUUGUCACCAAUAGCCCUCUACAUAUUCAAUAGUGCCAGAACGUAGAAUGGGUCCUGGUCUUUCCCUUACAUAACAUAUCAUAACAUUCCAAUGUGUCAGGAACGUAGAAUGGGUCUUCCUGGACUUUCUCUUACAUAGUGCCAGGGACGUAGAAUGGGUCCUUCUGGACUUCCAUACCGUAUCAUCAUCAUAUCAUAUCAUACCAUACGAGGGCUAAUGGAUCAUCCAAUGUUCAUCCACAUCAACAUCAUAUUAUGCAAUGAAACAUAUUCGUGAAUUCUAGUGCAGACAACCUAAUAUAUCUCAUGGCAUUCGUGAUGCAUGAACAUGCUCAAAAUUUAUUUAUUUACUUUGCAAUAUAAAGAGUCAUUCUACUCACCUCAGGCUAGCUCUGAAAAGACACUGAAGCAGCUAUCUCACUGCUGGGGUCCUCGGUUCCUCGGGUCCGAACCUACACAGGUGGACUCAAAUCAGGGACCAAACAUACAUGAACAUGACUCUAAACUACUCCCCAAAAACCUGCUAAAACACCUUAAAACAAUCAUAGAAAACAUGCAAAGGAAGGCUGAACAGGGCACCUUCGGUGGCAGGUUCGGCGGUUGAAAGUCCCUCCAGAGCCGAAACUCAGCCACUUUCGGUGGCACCUUCGGCGGCCGAAACUCCCCUCCACAGCCGAAAGUCCAACUUUCAGGGGCAGGGUUCGGCAGCCAAAGGCUUGCCUCCACAGGCAGGUUCGGCGGCCGAAAGUCCUUCGGCUGCCGAACCUGAGUUCUUCCAAGGGGCAGAACUUAGCCUCCUCAUGCACAUUUUGCCUUCCAAACCAUUCAAACAUAUAUUUAGCUAUUCUACAACAUGCAUACACAAGCAAAUAAGCAUAUAAGGGUCUCAAACUAACCUAAACCCCCACACAAACACAUAUAGCAACUCAUACAACACACAUUAUCCAUAAGCUCAACAUUAAACUAAACAUGCAUUUCUACCCCAUAACCCCUCAAAACUUGUUUAAAACAUACUAGAAAGGUAGGAUCUAAGCUUACCUCUUGAAGAUCGAGAGGAGAGAUGAUCCUAACUUGGAGAUGGGAGAAAUUUAGCUCCUUGGGUCUCCAAGCUCCAAAACUUGAUCUUAGCUUCAAAAAUCUUCAAAACCAAGUUAAAACUUGAAAGAUUUGAGAAAAAUCAUCAAAACCAACCAUGGGAGGGCAUGGACUCACCGUUGGCUGAAAAUAGGGGAGAAAGCUCGCCCAUUUUCGGCCAUGGGGCCUUUUA
rnacentral:lncRNA from 1 species